rnacentral:SRP_RNA from 10 species
UCCAUAUGCUGUGGCACGUGUCUGUAGUCCAAGUUACUUGGGAGGCUGAGGUGGGAUGAUCACAUGAGCCCAGGAGUACUGGGCUGUAGUGCAGUAUGCCGAUUGGGUGUCCCUGCUAAAUUCAGCAUCAACAUGGUGACCCACCAUAGUGGGGACUACCAGGUUGCCUAAAGAGGGGUGUACCAGCCUGGGCCAGAAUUGGAGCAGGUCAAAACUCCUGUGCUGAAAAUAACAUAAAUUCUCACAUCAAAAUGUAAAAUAUUGGAAGAGGGAGUGAAAGUAUAAAGUUGCAU